rnacentral:rRNA from 1 species
GACGAACGCUGGCGGCGUGCUUAACACAUGCAAGCCGGACGGAAAGGCCUCUUUCGGGGGGUACUCGAGUGGCGAACGGGUGAGUAACACGUGAGUAACCUGCCCUUGACUUUGGGAUAACUUCAGUAAACUGGGGCUAAUACCGGAUAGGAGCUCCUGCUGCAUGGUGGGGGUUGGAAAGUUUCGGCGGGUGGGGAUGGACUCGCGGCUUAUCAGCUUGUUGGUGGGGUAGUGGCUUACCAAGGCUUUGACGGGUAGCCGGCCUGAGAGGGUGACCGGCCACAUUGGGACUGAGAUACGGCCCAGACUCCUACGGGAGGCAGCAGUGGGGAAUAUUGCACAAUGGGUGGAAGCCUGAUGCAGCAACGCCGUGUGCGGGAUGACGGCCUUCGGGUUGUAAACCGCUUUCGCUCAUGACGAAGCUUUGUGUGACGGUAGUGGGUAAAGAAGCACCGGCUAACUACGUG